GUUGGCUCUAGAUUCGGAAGACCAUCAUUGCGUGAACACAAUAAUGAACAGCACCAGACUGACAGGCGGGAGCGUAGCAACAGGCUAGGAGCAUCAGAAAAGAACAGUCUACACAGACUGAGGUGGACGGCGAAGAGAUGUGGCAGAUUUUCUCUCUGGCCUAGAGAGGCCCACGUGGCAAGGAACUGUAGCCUUUGGCCAACAGCCAUUCCUGUGAGCCUUGGAGUGCAUCCCCAGGCCUUUUGAUGACUACAGCCCCAGCCAACAUCUUCACUGCUACUUCACCAGGUAUCCUAAGCCACAACUACCAGGGAUCUUCCUCUGCCACCAAGCACCCAGGAUGGAAUGCUGUGGUGCAAUCUCGGCUCACUGCAACCUCCACCCACCAGGCUCAAGCAAUCCUCCUGCCUCAGCCUCCCAAGUAGCUGGGACCAUAGGCAUGCACCACCACGCCUGGCUAUUUUUUUGUAUUUUGAGUAGAGAUGAGGGUCUCACUAUGUUGCCCAGGCUGAUCUCGAACUCCUGAGCUCCAAUGAUCUGCUCGCCUUUGCCUCCCAAAGUGCUGGGAUCACAGGCAUGAGCCACUGUGCCUGACCAGAAUUUUUUAAUAAAGUAAAUUUGACUCAAUUUUUAAUGUUAUUUACUGUGCAAUCAAGAUC
rnacentral:lncRNA from 10 species